rnacentral:rRNA from 1 species
UACGGGGGGGGCAAGCGUUGUUCGGAAUUACUGGGCGUAAAGGGCUCGUAGGCGGCCAACUAAGUCAGACGUGAAAUCCCUCGGCUUAACCGGGGAACUGCGUCUGAUACUGGAUGGCUUGAGGUUGGGAGAGGGAUGCGGAAUUCCAGGUGUAGCGGUGAAAUGCGCAGAUAUCAGGAGGAACACCAAUGGCGAAGGCAGCUCGCUGGGACGGUACUGACGCUGAGACGCGAAAGCGUGGGGAGCAAACAGG